rnacentral:lncRNA from 1 species
CUGGGCUCAAGCACUCCUCCAGCCUUAGCCUCCUGAGUAGCUAGAACUUCGGACACGCACCACCAUGUCCAACAAUUUUUAAAUUUUUUGUAGAAACGGUCUCACUAUGUUGCCCAGGCUGGUCUAAACUCCUGGCCUCAUGCAAUCCUUUCACCUUGGCCUCCCAAAGUGGUGGGAUUACAGGCAUGAGCUACCAUGCCUGGGCAUAAUGUUUAAUUUCUAAGAUAUUUUGACUUUGCUUUUAUUUCAAUUCAUUGCAGUUUUAAGCAUUAGGUGGAUAUUUUCUUGUGUUAGUUCACACAAUUAAACUGUUCUAAUGUCUCAUUAUUAAGCAGGUUAAGCUCUUAUUUUAUCAGUAAUGUGGAUUAGUUUUAUAUUUUUCCAACUCUUUGACCCUCUAGGAUUAAUGCAGCUAUAAGAAAAUGAACCAUUUAUAAAAUGAUAAUCUUUCCAAGUUAUAGUUCAUAUGUGUUCCUAGGUUAUUUGUAAAAAUUAUUUCUUCCUAUUGUAAAUAUUCUUAUUAAUAGGAAAUUUCUAGGUUUUACAUGUCCCAUCUUUGUUAUAAAGUCACAAGUAUGUCUUAACAUGUGGUAUCUAUAGCCAAGAAAUCAAAAUAUAAAAAGAACUCAAGGGUUUGUUAUUCGUUAACACUUACAAGAAAGAACAAUGUCUUGAUUUCUGUAUCUCUAGCAUCUACACAGUACAUAGCGCAUAAUAAGCACUAAAUAAAAGAUGAAAGAAUGCCUUUCUUAACCAAGGCAGUUUAAUAAUAUGUACAAAGAUGUAUAUACAGUACAUAGGAAGUGCUUGAGAAUACAUGGACAAAAUCAGAUUUAGCCAGUGCUAUUAAGGAGUUUAUUGUUAAGAACAAGUUAAUUAGUGCACAAUUGCAACAUGUAGACAACUAUUGGGUGUGCCACUAGACACCCACCAGCAACAUGUGCAAGCCUACAUUUAAGCUGCACAGCCUAAGCAUUAUGUGCAGAAAACCAGGUUAUCCUAGAGAAAUGAGGAAAGAAACUUUUUAUGCAACAUGAGCUUGAGUCAGCUUUCAGAAAUCCAAACUAAAAAGAAAAUCGUAGAGACAAGAUUUCAACUAUUCAACAUGGCUCUGAUUUUGACAUUUAAUCUGUAUUUUUGUAGUGAGGCAAAAAAUAAUCAUGUAAGAGUUUCUCAAAAUUCAGAAUGGGGGGCAGGAUCAAACAAAAGAAUAAGAUUUUUUUUUGUACUGCAGUGGUCUUUGUAUAUAAAAUGUCAAAUAUUUUAUCCUCUCAGUACAAGGAAUGUUUCAGUAGAUGCCAGUGUUAAUGUCAAAGGAAUAAAUCCUUUGGAGAAAUCUUAAGUCUACAUCUUACACCU